rnacentral:rRNA from 1 species
CAAUAGCGUAUAUUAAAGUUGUUGCAGUUAAAAAGCUCGUAGUUGAAUUUUUGCUUGCCGCCGAUGUCGGAACUUCCGUACGUUCGGCGGCGUGCAUCCUUGGGUGGAACCUGUGUGGCAUUAGGUUGUCGUGCAGGGGAUGCUCAUCGUUUACUGUGAAAAAAUUAGAGUGUUCAAAGCAGGCUUACGCCGUUGAAUAUAUUAGCAUGGAAUAAUAAGAUAGGACCUUGGUACUAUUUUGUUGGUUGAGCCUAAAGUAAUGAUUAAUAGGGAUAGUUGGGGGCACCUGUAUUGCGUUGUCAGAGGUGAAAUUCUUGGAUUUACGCAAGACAAACAGCUGCGAAAGCGUCUGCCAAGGAUGUUUUCAUUAA